rnacentral:rRNA from 1 species
CCUACGUGGGACAGCAGUGGGGAAUAUUGGGCAAUGGGCGCAAGCCUGACCCAGCAACGCCGCGUGAAGGAAGAAGGCUUUCGGGUUGUAAACUUCUUUUCUCAGGGACGAAGCAAGUGACGGUACCUGAUGAAUAAGCCACGGCUAACUACGUGCCAGCAGCCGCGGUAAUACGUAGGUGGCAAGCGUUAUCCGGAUUUACUGGUUUUAAAGGGCGUGUAGGCGGGACUGCAAGUCAGAUGUGAAAACCACGGGCUCAACCUGUGGCCUGCAUUUGAAACUGUAGUUCUUGAGUACUGGAGAGGCAGACGGAAUUCGUAGUGUAGCGGUGAAAUGCGUAGAUAUUAGGAGGAACACCAGUGGCGAAGGCGGUCUGCUGGACAGCAACUGACGCUGAGGCGCGAAAGCGUGGGGAGCAAACAGGAUUAGAUACCCCUGUAGUC